GGGGGAUCAAGUAUUGGUAUCAGUAGAUGAGAUGUUAGGAUCGGGGUCUCAUACGAAUGAGCAAGUAUUGGAAUCGGUACGUGAGAUGUUAGGAUCAGGACUUGAUUCAAACGGUCAGCAGAUUACUGUAGUACCCAGUUCUAAUAGUGUGUUGAUUGACCAGCCUUUAGCGAUUGGGCAAGAGUUCCCGGAUGUUGAUACUUGUAGAAGGACUUUGAAAGAGAUAGCGAUAUCGUUGCAUUUUGAAAUUCGAAUAGUAAAGUCAGAUAGGAGUAGAUUCAUAGCUAAGUGCUCCAAAGAGGGUUGUCCG
rnacentral:misc_RNA from 1 species